GGGUCCGGGGAGAAAUCCCCGGAGGUUUUUGCGAUGGUCGGGCCGCCAUCU
rnacentral:ncRNA from 2 species